ACUACUGUGCAUGUUGUUGAGGUCGCAAUCGCAGCAGUCUGAUUCAUGCACGACGCUACUCGCACAAAGUGAGAAGAUUUAGUUCACGGAGAAUGGAGAAUGGAUUGAAACUGAAGAGCUGGAAGGAGGACAUUACAACAUCUCUUAUAUUUGCAAGAUGACGCAGAAAGUCCCAUGCAGGAUGAUGCUUCUCUACGAGGAUGAUGAAGGCAUGCUGGUUUAUAAAUUCGGGAGAGGAACAAAGAACAGAUAUUGACGGGAUCAUAUCUAGAGAUGCAGGCCUACUACACUUCAUACGAGCAAGUGUACUAAUAUACAUGAAGGUGCCCCUUAUAAACUUUUGUGGAACACAUGUCAUGCAGAAAAUUAUAGAUCUGAAAAAGAUAUUUUUCAUUGUCAGUUGACUUGUAAAAGAAUUAUUGACUGAAUAUCACAAUUGUUAUUUAGAUUAA